AUUAGUUAAAACCAAAUUAGAGGUACAUUAUUGUUAAUAUUGAAAUUGAUUUUUUUAAUAAUCUAACUAA
rnacentral:tRNA from 1 species